rnacentral:rRNA from 1 species
CCUACGGGGGGCUGCAGUGGGGAAUAUUGGACAAUGGGGGGAACCCUGAUCCAGCCAUGCCGCGUGUGUGAAGAAGGCCCUCGGGUUGUAAAGCACUUUCAGGGAGGAAGAACGCCUGGUGGUUAAUACCCAUCAGGAAAGACAUCACUCACAGAAGAAGCACCGGCUAACUCCGUGCCAGCAGCCGCGGUAAUACGGAGGGUGCGAGCGUUAAUCGGAAUUACUGGGCGUAAAGCGCGCGUAGGUGGCUUGAUAAGCCGGUUGUGAAAGCCCCGGGCUCAACCUGGGAACGGCAUCCGGAACUGUCAAGCUAGAGUGCAGGAGAGGAAGGUAGAAUUCCCGGUGUAGCGGUGAAAUGCGUAGAGAUCGGGAGGAAUACCAGUGGCGAAGGCGGCCUUCUGGACUGACACUGACACUGAGGUGCGAAAGCGUGGGUAGCAAACAGGAUUAGAUACCCGAGUAGUC